CUCCUCCUACGGGAGGCAGCAGUGGGGAAUAUUGCACAAUGGGGGACACCCUGAUGCAGCGACGCCGCGUGAGUGAAGAAGUAUUUCGGUAUGUAAAGCUCUAUCAGCAGGAACGAGACAAGACGGUACCUGACUAAGAAGCCCCGGCUAACUACGUGCCAGCAGCCACGGUAAUACGUAGGGGGCAAGCGUUAUCCGGAAUCACUGGGUGUAAAGGGAGCGUAGACGGCUGUGCAAGCCUGAAGUGGAAGGCGGGGGCCCAACCCCUGGACUGCUUUGGUAACUGUCCGUCUGGAGUGCAGGAGAGGUAAGUGGAAUUCCUAGUGUAGCGGUGAAAUGCGUAGGUAUUAGGAGGAACACCAGUGGCGAAGGCGGCUUACUGGCCUGUAACUGACGUUGAGGCUCGAAAGCGUGGGGAGCAAACAGGAUUAGAUACCCUAGUACA
rnacentral:rRNA from 1 species